UGGGGAAUUUUGGACAAUGGGCGCAAGCCUGAUCCAGCAAUGCCGCGUGCAGGAUGAAGGCCUUCGGGUUGUAAACUGCUUUUGUACGGCGCGAAAAGGUCUGCCCUAAUACGGUGGGCUCAUGACGGUACCGUAAGAAUAAGCACCGGCUAACUACGUGCCAGCAGCCGCGGUAAUACGUAGGGUGCGAGCGUUAAUCGGAAUUACUGGGCGUAAAGCGUGCGCAGGCGGUUAUAUAAGACAGGUGUGAAAUCCCCGGGCUCAACCUGGGACCUGCAUUUGGGACUGGAUAGCUAGAGUACGGUAGAGGGGGAUGGAAUUCCGCGUGUAGCAGUGAAAUGCGUAGAUAUGCGGAGGAACACCGAUGGCGAAGGCAAUCCCCUGGACCUGUACUGACGCUCAUGCACGAAAGCGUGGGGAGCAAACA
rnacentral:rRNA from 1 species